GAUGCCCUUAGAUGUUCUGGGCCGCACGCGCGCUACACUGAUGCGUUCAACGAGUUUAAAACCUUGACCGAUAGGUCUGGGUAAUCUUGUAAAUGCGCAUCGUGCUAGGGAUAGAUUGUUGCAAUUUUCAAUCUUGAACGAGGAAUUCCUAGUAAAUGCAAGUCAUCAGCUUGCGUUGAUUACGUCCCUGCCCUUUGUACACACCGCCCGUCGCACCUACCGAUUGAAUGACUCGGUGAAGAAUUGGGACUGUGAAUCUGUUUGCUUCAUUGCGAAUGGAUUUGUGGGAACUUUUUUUAACCUCGCCAUUUAGAGGAAGGUGAAGUCGUAACAAGGUUUCCGUAGGUGAACCUGCGGAAGGAUCAUUACCACACCAAAAACUAUCCACGUGAACCACUUUGUAUAGGUUUUUUGUCGCCAUAUGCAACGCUUCUUCGAGGAGUGUUUGUGUAUGUGUGGGCUAACCGAAGGCUUUUGACCGUAAGGUUGGAAGCUGAUGUUUUUUCUCACCCUUUACCUCAAUAUGAAUUUCGCAAGAACGAAAGUUUUUGCGUUUACUUCCACAAACUUUCAGCAGUGGAUGUCUAGGCUCGCACAUCGAUGAAGAACGCUGCGAACUGCGAUACGUAAUGCGAAUUGCAGGAUUCAGUGAGUCAUCGAAAUUUUGAACGCAUAUUGCACUUUCGGGUUAUGCCUGGAAGUAUGCCUGUAUCAGUGUCCAUAUCACAAACUUGCCCUUUUUUUUGGAAAGGUGCAGAUGCUGAGGUGUCUUUUUGGAUCAAAAGAUUUGAAACGUCCCUUGAAAAGCAGACGAUACAAGGCUUUCCGUACACAUGCUUUGCGUUUGUACAUGCUUAUCAGUGCGAUCUUUCUUUUUGUGACUGGGACGUUGUACUAGUUGCUUUCCACGUUGGGUCACUCAAAUAUGCAGUCUUCAUUUGCGGUAUGUUUUGCUUCGGCUUGACACAUUAGCUCAUGAGAUUGUAUAGUUGGUUGUUCUUGUGGGUAGUACUUAGGAUAAUGGAAAGGUCAUCAAGGAGACGGAAUUGCGUACUGACAAGCUGUACCGAAGUUAAAUGCAUGGGAAAGACUUUAUCGUUAAUUGGGAAAAGGAUGCGUGUUGUUUGCUCUUCGCUCUUGAAGGAUGCACUUGCUUGCAGGUACAUUCUUUGAGAACGAGUUGUACAUGACGCAUGUCUCUCA
rnacentral:rRNA from 1 species